GACGAACGCUGGCGGCGUGCUUAACACAUGCAAGUCGAACGGAAAGGCCCUGCUUGCAGGGUGCUCGAGUGGCGAACGGGUGAGUAACACGUGGGUGAUCUGCCCCUUACUUUGGGAUAAGCCUGGGAAACUGGGUCUAAUACUGGAUAGGACCAAGCUGUAGGUGGUGUGGUGGAAAGAUUAGUUUCGGUAAGGGAUGAGCUCGCGGCCUAUCAGCUUGUUGGUGGGGUAAUGGCCUACCAAGGCGUCGACGGGUAGCCGGCCUGAGAGGGUGGACGGCCACAUUGGGACUGAGAUACGGCCCAGACUCCUACGGGAGGCAGCAGUGGGGAAUAUUGCACAAUGGGCGCAAGCCUGAUGCAGCGACGCCGCGUGGGGGAUGACGGCCUUCGGGUUGUAAACUCCUUUCAGCCAUGACGAAGCCCUUGUGGUGACGGUAGUGGUAGAAGAAGCACCGGCUAACUACGUG
rnacentral:rRNA from 1 species